rnacentral:tRNA from 1 species
AAAUUCUUAGUAUAUUAAGUAUUUUCAAUUGCAAAUUGAGGGGUUAAGAGUUUUA